AUUGAACGCUGGCGGCAGGCUUAACACAUGCAAGUCGAACGAGUGGCGGACGGGUGAGUAAUGAUUGGGAAUCUAGCUGAUGGAGGGGGAUAACUACGGGAAACGGGAGCUAAUACCGCGUACCAUAGGAUGAGCACAAGUGGGAUUAGGUAGUUGGUGGGGUAAAGGCUCACCAAGGCGACGAUCUCUAGCUGGUCUGAGAGGAUGACCAGCCACACUGGGACUGAGCCACGGCCCAGCCUCCUACGGGAGGACGCAGUGGGGAAUAUUUCGCAAUGGGGGCAACCUGACGCAGCCAUGCCGCGUGAAUGAAGAAGGCCUUCGGGUUGUAAAGUUCUUUCGGUGGCGAGGCGUUACCCUCAUAAGAAGCACCGGCUAACUCCGUGCCAGCAGCCGCGGUAAUUC
rnacentral:rRNA from 1 species